rnacentral:rRNA from 1 species
GACGAACGCUGGCGGCGUGCCUAAUACAUGCAAGUUGAGCGAUGAAGCUUGGUGCUUGCCCCAAUUUGAAGAGCAGCGAACGGGUGAGUAACGCGUGGGGAAUCUGCCUUUGAGCGGGGGACAACAUUUGGAAACGAAUGCUAAUACCGCAUAACAACUUUAAACAUAAGUUUUAAGUUUGAAAGAUGCAAUUGCAUCACUCAAAGAUGAUCCCGCGUUGUAUUAGCUAGUUGGUGAGGUAAAGGCUCACCAAGGCGAUGAUACAUAGCCGACCUGAGAGGGUGAUCGGCCACAUUGGGACUGAGACACGGCCCAAACUCCUACGGGAGGCAGCAGUAGGGAAUCUUCGGCAAUGGACGAAAGUCUGACCGGGCAACGCCGCGUGAGUGAAGAAGGUUGUCGGAUCGUAAAACUCUGUUGGUAGAGAAGAACGUUGGUGAGAGUGGAAAGCUCAUCAAGUGACGGUAACUACCCAGAAAGGGACGGCUAACUACGUG